rnacentral:rRNA from 1 species
GGUGGAACCUACCUAUAAGACUGGGAUAACUCCGGGAAACCGGGGCUAAUACCGGAUAACACAUGAAACCGCAUGGUUUCAUGAUGAAAGACGGUUUUGCUGUCACUUAUAGAUGGACCCGCGGCGUAUUAGCUAGUUGGUAAGGUAACGGCUUACCAAGGCAACGAUACGUAGCCGACCUGAGAGGGUGAUCGGCCACACUGGAACUGAGACACGGUCCAGACUCCUACGGGAGGCAGCAGA